rnacentral:ncRNA from 1 species
UAAAAGUUUUAUUCUUGCUUAAUUGUUUAUCUUUUGUAUAUUUUACAUGUAAAUUUAUGUGGAUAUAAUGAGUCUUUAAAAGAGUAUGUAUUUGCAGUAUUUAAUAUUAUAGAUCAAGGAAACUUGGAGUUAGUAAUAUAAUGUGUGACCGGCUAAAGUCGUGCCAGCUGCCGCGGUUAUACGUAGGGUUAAAGUGAACAUUAUUAGCUUAGAAGUUAAUAGAUUUUAUUUUAGUUUGGAUGUGAAUUUUUAAGGUAGAAUUUUAAAUUUGUAAUUAAACUUUAUUUAUGAUAUGAAGCUUUGAAAUUUAAAUUAUAAACUAGGAUUAGAUACCCUAUUAUUUUAAAUGUAAAGGUUUGUGCUUGAGUAGUAAUAGUUAAGUUCUUGAAACUCAAAGAAUUUGGCGGUGUUUUAGUCUUUUCAGAGGAAUCUGUCCUGUAAUCGAUAGCACACGUUAUAUUCAACUUAAUUUUGUUUAUCAGUUUGUAUACCGCCGUCGUAAGAUUAUUUUUUUAGAAGGACAAUUUUCUAGUCUUCAAAUUAGAAUAUAUGUCAGGUCAAGGUGCAGCUUAUGAUUAAGUAGGAGAUGGAUUACAAUAGAAGAAUUUAAAUGGAUCUUGCAUUGAAAUAAGGUGCAAUUGAAGGUGGAUUUGAAAGUAAUGUUGUUAUAUUAUGAUAACAUGAUUUUAGCUCUAAAACAUGCACACAUCGCCCGUCGCUCUCAUUAUUAAGGUGAGAUAAGUCGUAACAAAGUAGAUGUACUGGAAAGUGUAUCUAGAAUG